rnacentral:lncRNA from 1 species
UAAAAUGUAUUUUCUUUGUGUUUCCAAAUGACCAGAAGAUGGCAGCCUUUCAGAAUCUUCCACAUCACUGAGGGGAAUGUGAACAUUCCAUUGGUUAUUUCCAAAUCCAACCCCACACCAUCCAAUCAUGAAGGGUCACCCUGAAAGAUCUAGAUGGGGCAUAAAACCCAGUGUUUAUGAUGUCCAGCCAACUUGGGCAACGUCUUUUGAAGGGCCUAAUCUCACUGUCCCCAGAACUUUGAAGUGAAUUUGAACCAGCUGGCCAGUCUUGGAUAUUGUAUAGGAGUACACUUGAACCACUUGAUCAACUCCCUCCUGAAGAACAGAUAAUUUCUUCACAUGUCUAGCUACUCCAUAGGUCCUGCUGUGACCCAGUCAGGUACUGAGAAGAAAAGAGAUGAAUCUGAAGGCUUGGGUUUGAAAUCUGACUGCCAUUUUUUUUUACCACAAAGUUAUUAACCAUUCUUUUUCAGAGCAUGUGUCUAUGAAAGAAGCCCUCAUGGUCUCCAGGAUCUUUUCUGGCUUUAAAGGCCACAAUAUGAUCAUUUUCUAAGCACUCUUGCCAACAUCAAUAAUGCUUCAGAGUCUCCUUAUUGCUGGUUCACAUAAACUCGGACUGAGGCAGUUAAAUAGUGCAUUAAAAAUUAUAAAACUUGGAGGAUAAACUCAAAACUUAACUCUCAAAGCAAAAAAAAAAAAAGGUAUUACCAUUAUGACAAUUCUGAAAAGAACAAUCAUAGGACUGCCAGGAUCUUGGCCAUAUGGUUUUGGGGAGAAGGGUAAGAAAUAUGGAACUUCCUAGAAACAGGACUGAAAGAAUUAGCCUAGGUAUAUGGUUUGUCUCUGUGGAAGGGUGAGAAGAAAAUGUUAAGUGGGCCUGCUAGCCAUGUCAGAUUCCUCUAAAGAGUGUCUCAAAGGCCCCAACAUCAGGCUCUUUGCUUCCAUCCCAUUGGCUGUCCUAUCUGCAAGGGACACUGGGAAAUGUAGUUCUUCAGCUAGACACAUUGCUGCCCCUAAGUAGAAUUAUGUUAAUGAGAAGGGGAAAAGUGAGCAUGCAGUUAGGCAUACUGAUGGGGUCUGGGGGACCUCAUAGAGAUAACUUUAGGGUCCAAUAAGCAUUGACCCCAUCCAGAGUUAGGUAGGUAGUGAUCCUGGGAUCUUGGGUCCUGGGUUUAUUCAAAGCAUGAUCCAACCAGAUUGCAAAAUAAGGGAGAUAGCUGGGUAAAAACUCAGCAUAUCAUCAGAGUGUCCCACAAAUGGACAGAGCUUGAGUGUGUCAAAGAUACACAGCAGACGGAAGUCAGAGCAGUGAAAAGAGAUUUUGUUCAACUGUUGGUGGUAGGGGAAAGAACUGACCUCCAUUCUGAUUUGCACACAGAUCAUUUAGGCAUUUUAAAGAAAGUAAGAAAAAGGGAAGAGCAGGAGCUUAAUAGAGUCAGAGAUGAGAAAACUUACAAAAGUUUGGUC